rnacentral:lncRNA from 1 species
UGAGAGGAUUCGUUAUGAGAAUAGUGUCAAUCAUAGCUUUAAGACCUUGCUUUGGAAGGAACUGAUGAGAAAGCAGAUUGGAAGGUGGGCACCUAAACAAGAUAUAUGAGACCCACUGAAGUUGGAUGGAUGGAUGGAUAUAACUGCUCCUAAAUACAUAGAAGCGUCCUCAAAGUAUGUGCAUAUGCUAAAGUGAGGACUCCUGGAAGAAGAGUGGACUGAGAAAUGGGAC